rnacentral:rRNA from 1 species
GACGAACGCUGGCGGCGUGCUUAACACAUGCAAGUCGAACGGAAAGGCCCUGCUUUUGUGGGGUGCUCGAGUGGCGAACGGGUGAGUAACACGUGAGUAACCUGCCCUUUACUUUGGGAUAACUUCAGGAAACUGGGGCUAAUACCGGAUAGGAGCUCCUGCUGCAUGGUGGGGGUUGGAAAGUUUCGGCGGUUGGGGAUUGACUCGCGGCUUAUCAUCUUGUUGGUGUGGUAGUGGCUUACCAAGGCUUUGACGGGUAGCCGGCCUGAGAGGGUGACCGGCAACAAUGGGACUGAGAUACGGACCAGACUGCAACGGGAGGCAGCAGUGGGGAAUAUUGCACAAUGGGCGGAAGCCUGAUGCAGCAACGCAGCGUGCGGGAUGACGGCCUUCGGGUUGUAAACCGCUUUCGCCUGUGACGAAGCGUGAGUGACGGUAAUGGGUAAAGAAGCACCGGCUAACUACGUG